UUAAUGUGGUGUAGAAGCAAAUAUUGCUGAAAUGAAUCUCGAAACUGACCUGCCCCGCGUGGCUGUCUGGGUGAGCUGCAAUGAGGCAGGUGCUCCAGAUGCAACUCUGGGCUUGGUUCUGGGAGCAGCACCUGGCGUCCAGAAACGCUGCUCUAGGAUUUGUCACCGAGCCAAACUGUCUGGACCUCAAUCCUGGCCCCGGGUGGGCUCUCUUUCUCCAUGUCUCUGCUUUCCCAUCUGUGAAAUGGAAAUGACACAGAAUCUCCACACAGAAGACCACAGGGAGAACUCUGAACAGGGCCUGCUCACAGCAAGCUCCAGGGAAGAGGCUGUGUGGACACAGUAAGAAAGAGGCCUUCUGCAAGCCAGAAGAGCUCUCAUCAGGAACCAACCCUGCAGAUACCUUCAUCUUGGACUUUCAGCCUCCAAAACUAUCACAGACCCAGGGGAAGGUGAGGUCACAGAAGACAAGAAAGAAGAGAAUGGCUGUUCAGAAAAGAGGAGCAUCUCUUCGAGAAGGUUUUUCUUCAAAAGAGAUGGAGGCAAGUCUGAGAUGUUCUCUUCCCCCGGCACUACAAGGCCAUAAAUUUUCCUCGCCCAUCUCCACUCCUACCCUGUGAGUUACAGCAGCUUCUCGGUCAUUUAUUAUUCAUCAUUAUCAUGGUGACAUAUUCAGCAGUCUAAUUCACCAUCUCCCAGCGCUGACUUUAUCUCGCUCUGUAAAUGCUCGCCCAGCUGGAAUUUCUUCUGACAAACUCCUGGCCCCACUCCGGCAUUAUCUUUCCCCAAACAGGCAUGAUCAUUUAGAACUUUAUUGGAGAUCUCGUAAAAGAACCCUUCAGAAGCAAUCAGGGCUUCGAUGUAUCACCGAUCACUUAGCACUUAGGGAGGACACACGAGGAUGAAAUCAAACUGCCCAGCCUCUUGGGGCCACAGAGGACAUUCAAGGUGCCAUGGCCGCAUCCCUCCUCAGUCAGGGGAGGCAACAGAUAUGUCCCCUGGUUCACAAGGGACCCACUGACUGACAUGGCCAUGGAAUGCCUGAAAAGCGUGUUGGAUGAAACCAGUAUGAUGGAAUCCCUUGGGGAGGCAGCAGGCUGUCUUCUGGUUGGAAGGGGCUUGCUGGGAGGGGCCGGGAGUCCUCAGACCCUCUGCUGUCACUCCUGCUGUGGCCCCCAUGGCCCACACACCCUGUUCCCACCCACAUGCUGCCUCCUACUCACUGCCCCGAGGGACACCCGCUGUGGACCCUGACCUUCACUCCCUCAAAGCUUGCCUGCCCUACCUGGGCUCCUUUUAGGGACUUGCCUCCACUCACUGAUCUCAGGUAAUGCUGUCCAAAGGGACAUUCUGCGGUGGCAGAGAUAUUCUCUAUCCAUGCCAUCCAAUAGGUAGCCACUGGCCACAUGUAGCUACUGAGCACUUAAAAUGUGGCUCAUGCAACUGACAACUGCAUUUUAAUCUAAUUUUAAGUCAAAAGUAUGGCUCAGUGGUUAAGCG